CCUACGGGAGGCAGCAGUAGGGAAUAUUGCACAAUGGGGGAAACCCUGAUGCAGCGACGCCGCGUGGGUGAAGAAGUAUUUCGGUAUGUAAAGCUCUAUCAUCAGGGAAGAUAAUGACGGUACCUGAUGAAUAAGCACCGGCUAACUACGUGCCAGCAGCCGCGGUAAUACGUAGGGGGCAAGCGUUAUCCGGAUUUACUGGGCGUAAAGGGAGCGUAGACGGGAGAACAAGUCUGAAGUGAAAUCCCUGGGCUUAACCCUGGAACUGCUUUGGAAACUGUUAAGCUAGAGUACAGGAGAGGUAGGUGGAAUUCUUGGUGUAGCGGUGAAAUGCGUAGAUAUCAGGAGGAAUACCAGUGGCGAAGGCGGCUUACUAGAAUAUAACUGACGUUGAGGCUCGAAAGCGUGGGGAGCAAACAGGAUUAGAUACCCCUGUAGUC
rnacentral:rRNA from 1 species